AACGAACGCUGGCGGCAGGCUUAACACAUGCAAGUCGAGCGCCCCGCAAGGGGAGCGGCAGACGGGUGAGUAACGCGUGGGAAUCUACCCAACUCUACGGAAUAACUCAGGGAAACUUGUGCUAAUACCGUAUACGCCCUUCGGGGAAGAUUUAUCAGAGUUGGAUGAGCCCGCGUUGGAUUAGCUAGUUGGUGGGGUAA
rnacentral:rRNA from 1 species